AUUGAAAACCUGAAACAAGCUGGCAUCACCCUGCAGUUCUUCUUGCCUUUCCCUCUGGAGGAGGAUGAAGAGGGUGACGGAGACGCAGACAGAAGAGGCCCCGGCCACCCAGGACCAGGAACAGGAAAAGGUCUGUCCAGGGAACAGAGGAGCGGCCUGGAGAUGGUGAGACGCAUCAUGCUAAGUCUGGAUGAGGAGGACGGCCUGGAUGAAGUUUACACCUUCAGGAAUGCGAUCGAGCAGCUUUGCAUGUUCAAGCGUAUUGAGAGGAGACCAAUGGCCUGGCCCUGUCAGCUAACCAUUGGCAGCGCUCUCUCCAUCCGUAUUGUUGGCUACAA